rnacentral:SRP_RNA from 1 species
CCGUACAGGACGGGGAGACAGCGGUGCCCUGUUGCCCGGAAUCCGCUCACCGGGGUCCAUGCUGAGCAUGCGGGGCGCACGUUUCCGAAACAGUCCCUGUUGAAGGCGUUGAAGGCUGCAAACCAUGCAAUGGGAAGCUCUGAACUCUGCCAGGUCCGGAAGGAAGCAACAGUACUGAGUAGAACAUGUGCCGUGGCCCGAUGCAACUGGAGCCGGAGACAGUCGACCACGCCGGAGGUCUGCGCAACAAGUGCUCAGCGUACGG